CACGUAGGGUGCGAGCGUUAAUCGGAAUUACUGGGCGUAAAGGGUGCGCAGGCGGCUGUGUAAGACAGGUGUGAAAUCCCCGGGCUUAACCUGGGAACUGCGCUUGUGACUGCACAGCUAGAGUACGGCAGAGGGGGGUGGAAUUCCACGUGUAGCAGUGAAAUGCGUAGAGAUGUGGAGGAACACCGAUGGCGAAGGCAACCCCCUGGGCCGCUACUGACGCUCAGGCACGAAAGCGUGGGUAGCAAACAGG
rnacentral:rRNA from 1 species